rnacentral:antisense_RNA from 1 species
UUUGAUCGAGCCCAGCCACAGUGGCCGCCCCGCCGGCCGGUCCUGCCCGUAGGUCGCCAACAAAGCCCGCGCCUC